GACGAACGCUGGCGGCGUGCCUAAUACAUGCAAGUCGAGCGGACUUUCAAGAAGCUUGCUUUUUGAAAGUUAGCGGCGGACGGGUGAGUAACACGUGGGCAACCUGCCUGCAAGACGGGGAUAACUCCGGGAAACCGGGGCUAAUACCGGAUAAUAUCUUCCUUCGCAUGAAGGAAGGUUGAAAGGCGGCGCAAGCUGCCGCUUGCAGAUGGGCCCGCGGCGCAUUAGCUAGUUGGUGAGGUAAAGGCACACCAAGGCGACGAUGCGUAGCCGACCUGGGAGGGUGGUCGGCCACACUGGGACUGAGACACGGCCCAGACUCCUACGGGAGGCAGCAGUAGGGAAUCUUCCGCAAUAGACGAAAGUCUGACGGAGCAACGCCGCGUGAGCGAAGAAGGUCUUCGGAUCGGAAAGCUCUGUUGUCAGGGAAGAACAAGUACCGUUCGAACAGGGCGGUACCUUGACGGUACCUGACCAGAAAGCCACGGCUAACUACGUG
rnacentral:rRNA from 1 species